GAUGAAGAACGUAGUGAAAUGCGAUAAGUAGUGUGAAUUGCAGAAUUCAGUGAAUCAUCGAAUCUUUGAACGCACAUUGCGCCCCAUGGUAUUCCGUGGGGCAUGCCUGUUCGAGCGUCAUUUACCCCCUCAAGCUCCGCUUGGUGUUGGGCGUCUGUCCCGCUUCGCGCGCGGACUCGCCCCAAAGGUAUUGGCAGCGGUCGUGCCAGCUUCUCGCGCAGCACAAUGCGCUUCUCGAGGCACCGGUGGGCCCGCGUCCAUCAAGCUCACCCCCCCAGUUUGACCUCGGAUCAGGUAGGGAUACCCGCUGAACUUAAGCAUAUCAAUAAGCGGAGGA
rnacentral:misc_RNA from 1 species